AUUGAACGCUGGCGGCAGGCCUAACACAUGCAAGUCGAACGAGUGGCGGACGGGUGAGUAAUGUCGGGAAACCUGCCUGAUGGAGGGGGAUAAAUCCUGGAAACGGUAGCUAAUACCGCAUACCAUCAGAUGUGCCCAGGUGGGAUGGGCUUGUUGGUGGGGUAACGGCUCACCAAGGCGACGCUCCCUAGCUGGUCUGAGAGGCUGACCAGCCACACUGGAACUGAGACACGGUCCAGACUCCUACGGGAGGCAGCAGUGGGGAAUAGUGCACAAUGGGCGAAAGCCUGAUGCAGCCAUGCCGCGUGUAUGAAGAAGGCCUUCGGGUUGUAAAGUACUUUCAGCGGGGAGGCGUUACCCGAAGAAGAAGCACCGGCUAACUCCGUGCCAGCAGCCGCGGUAAUAC
rnacentral:rRNA from 1 species